rnacentral:rRNA from 1 species
AGAGUUUGAUCCUGGCUCAGGAUGAACGCCGGCGGUGUGCCUAAUACAUGCAAGUCGUACGCACUGGCCCAACUGAUUGAUGGUGCUUGCACCUGAUUGACGUUGGAUCACCAGUGAGUGGCGGACGGGUGAGUAACACGUAGGUAACCUGCCCCGGAGCGGGGGAUAACAUUUGGAAACAGAUGCUAAUACCGCAUAACAACAAAAGCCACAUGGCUUUUGUUUGAAAGAUGGCUUUGGCUAUCACUCUGGGAUGGACCUGCGGUGCAUUAGCUAGUUGGUAAGGUAACGGCUUACCAAGGCGAUGAUGCAUAGCCGAGUUGAGAGACUGAUCGGCCACAAUGGAACUGAGACACGGUCCAUACUCCUACGGGAGGCAGCAGUAGGGAAUCUUCCACAAUGGGCGCAAGCCUGAUGGAGCAACACCGCGUGAGUGAAGAAGGGUUUCGGCUCGUAAAGCUCUGUUGUUGGAGAAGAACGUGCGUGAGAGUAACUGUUCACGCAGUGACGGUAUCCAACCAGAAAGUCACGGCUAACUACGUGCCAGCAGCCGCGGUAAUACGUAGGUGGCAAGCGUUAUCCGGAUUUAUUGGGCGUAAAGCGAGCGCAGGCGGUUGCUUAGGUCUGAUGUGAAAGCCUUCGGCUUAACCGAAGAAGUGCAUCGGAAACCGGGCGACUUGGGUGCAGAAGAGGACAGUGGAACUCCAUGUGUAGCGGUGGAAUGCGUAGAUAUAUGAAAGAACACCAGUGGCGAAGGCGGCUGUCUGGUCUGCAACUGACGCUGAGGCUCGAAAGCAUGGGUAGCGAACAGGAUUAGAUACCCUGGUAGUCCAUGCCGUAAACGAUGAGUGCUAGGUGUUGGAGGGUUUCCGCCCUUCAGUGCCGGAGCUAACGCAUUAAGCACUCCGCCUGGGGAGUACGACCGCAAGGUUGAAACUCAAAGGAAUUGACGGGGGCCCGCACAAGCGGUGGAGCAUGUGGUUUAAUUCGAAGCUACGCGAAGAACCUUACCAGGUCUUGACAUCUUGCGCUAACCUUAGAGAUAAGGCGUUCCCUUCGGGGACGCAAUGACAGGUGGUGCAUGGUCGUCGUCAGCUCGUGUCGUGAGAUGUUGGGUUAAGUCCCGCAACGAGCGCAACCCUUGUUACUAGUUGCCAGCAUUAAGUUGGGCACUCUAGUGAGACUGCCGGUGACAAACCGGAGGAAGGUGGGGACGACGUCAGAUCAUCAUGCCCCUUAUGACCUGGGCUACACACGUGCUACAAUGGACGGUACAACGAGUCGCAAGCUCGCGAGAGUAAGCUAAUCUCUUAAAGCCGUUCUCAGUUCGGACUGUAGGCUGCAACUCGCCUACACGAAGUCGGAAUCGCUAGUAAUCGCGGAUCAGCAUGCCGCGGUGAAUACGUUCCCGGGCCUUGUACACACCGCCCGUCA